GUAANACGUGAGUGACCUGCCUUUUAGACUGGAACAACUUACCGAAAGGUGAGCUAAUGCCGGAUGAGUUAUAUAAGUGCAUGUUUAUAUAGGAAAAGUUGGGGAGACCUGACGCUGAAAGAUGGACUCGCGUCCCAUUAGCUAGUUGGUAGGGUAAUGGCCUACCAAGGCGACGAUGGGUAGCCGGCCUGAGAGGGUGGCCGGCCACACUGGGACUGAGACACGGCCCAGACUCCUACGGGAGGCAGCAGUGGGGAAUUUUGCGCAAUGCUCGUAAGAGUGACGCAGCGACGCCGCGUGAAUGACGAAGGCCUUCGGGUCGUAAAGUUCUUUCGACAGGGAAGAAAAUGCCUAUAAGUAACUGUGUAUGUAUUGACGGUACCUGUAUAAGCAGCCCCGGCUAACUCCGUGCCAGCAGCCGCGGUAAUACGGAGGGGGCGAGCGUUGUUCGGAGUGACUGGGCGUAAAGAGCACGUAGGCGGUGUUGUAAGUCAUUAGUCAAAGACUAGAGCUCAACUUUAGUAAGGCUAGUGAUACUAUAAUACUAGAGUAUCAGAGAGGAUUGCAGAAUUCCUGGUGUAGCGGNGAAAUGCGUAGAUAUCAGGAGGAAUACCGUUAGCGAAGGCGGCANUCUGGCUGGAAACUGACGCUGAGGUGCGAAAGCGUGUGUAGCAAACAGGAUUANAUACCCNGGUAGU
rnacentral:rRNA from 1 species